rnacentral:rRNA from 1 species
AGUGAACGCUGGCGGCAUGGAUUAGGCAUGCAAGUCGAGCGAGAAGUGUAGCAAUACACGGAAAGCGGCGGAAGGGAGAGUAAUACGUGGGAAUCUGCCCUUAGACCUGGGAUAGCAGCGGGAAACUGCUGGUAAUACCAGAUAAUGUCUAUGGACCAAAGGUGUGAUUCCGUCUAGGGAUGAGCCCACGUCCUAUUAGCUAGUUGGUAGGGUAAUGGCCUACCAAGGCGAUGAUGGGUAGCGGGUGUGAGAGCAUGACCCGCCUCACUGGGACUGAGACACUGCCCAGACACCUACGGGUGGCUGCAGUCGAGAAUCUUCGGCAAUGGGCGCAAGCCUGACCGAGCGAUGCCGCGUGCGGGAUGAAGGCCUUCGGGUUGUAAACCGCUGUCGAGGGGGAGCAACUUCCAUAGAGUUAUCUUUAUGGAUUGAGUGAUCCCUGGAGGAAGGACGGGCUAAGUUCGUGCCAGCCGCCGCCGUAACAC